rnacentral:sRNA from 1 species
UUUUAGCCCCGAUAGUAGUGAAAGCCCUUUUUUUGUGGCAAUUUUUCUUUACCUCAAAAAAAAAGAUUGUAACGGAUUGCUUCGCUAGUU